GACGAACCGUGCGAACGUUGUUCGGAAUCACUGGGCUUAAAGGGCGCGUAGGCGGCUUGCCAAGUCAGGGGUGAAAUCUUGCGGCUCAACCGUAAUAAGCCUUUGAUACUGGCAGGCUCGAGGGAGGUAGGGGCAUGUGGAACUUCUGGUGGAGCGGUGAAAUGCGUUGAUAUCAGAAGGAACGCCGGUGGCGAAAGCGACGUGCUGGAUCUCUUCUGACGCUGAGGCGCGAAAGCUAGGGUAGCGAACGGG
rnacentral:rRNA from 2 species